rnacentral:rRNA from 1 species
GAUGAACGCUAGCGGCAGGCCUAAUACAUGCCAGUCGAACGGGAUCCAGAUCAAAGCUUGCUUUGGUCUGGUGAGAGUGGCGCACGGGUGCGUAACGCGUGAGCAACCUACCCUUGUCAGGGGGAUAGCCCGGCGAAAGUCGGAUUAAUACCGCAUGACAUCAUUGAGAGGCAUCUUUCGAUGAUCAAAGAUUUAUCGGACAAGGAUGGGCUCGCGUGACAUUAGCUAGUUGGUAAGGUAACGGCUUACCAAGGCUGCGAUGUCUAGGGGCUCUGAGAGGAGAAUCCCCCACACUGGUACUGAGACACGGACCAGACUCCUACGGGAGGCAGCAGUAAGGAAUAUUGGUCAAUGGACGGAAGUCUGAACCAGCCAUGCCGCGUGCAGGAAGACGGCCCUAUGGGUUGUAAACUGCUUUUAUACGGGAACAAACGUCGGUACGUGUACCGGUCUGAGUGUACCGUAAGAAUAAGGAUCGGCUAACUCCGUG